CAAAAGCGUAUAUUAAAGUUGUUGCAGUUAAAAAGCUCGUAGUUGAACCUUGGGCUUGGCUGGCCGGUCCAUCUUUUUUGAUGCGUACUGGACCCAGCCGAGCCUUUCCUUCUGGCUAGCCUUUCGGCGAACCAGGACUUUUACUUUGAAAAAAUUAGAGUGUUCAAAGCAGGCCUUUGCUCGAAUAUAUUAGCAUGGAAUAAUAGAAUAGGACGUUAUGGUUCUAUUUUGUUGGUUUCUAGGACCAUCGUAAUGAUUAAUAGGGACGGUCGGGGGUAUCAGUAUUCAGUUGUCAGAGGUGAAAUUCUUGGAUUUACUGAAGACUAACUACUGCGAAAGCAUUUACCAAGGACGUUUUCAUUAA
rnacentral:rRNA from 1 species